rnacentral:rRNA from 1 species
CCAGACUCCUACGGGAGGCAGCAGUGAGGAAUAUUGGUCAAUGGGCGUAAGCCUGAACCAGCCAAGUCGCGUGAGGGACGACGGCCCUACGGGUUGAAAACCUCUUUUGCCGGGGGACAAACGGCGGCACGCGUGCCGUCCUGAGGGUACCCGGAGAAAAAGCAUCGGCUAACUCCGUGCCAGCAGCCGCGGUAAUACGGAGGAUGCGAGCGUUAUCCGGAUUUAUUGGGUUUAAAGGGUGCGUAGGCGGGGCGUUAGGCCGGGGGUAAAAUGGGGGGCCACACCCCCUCCCCGCCAUUGAAACUGGCGCUCUUGAGUGGAAGAGAAGUAUGCGGAAUGCGUGGUGUAGCGGUGAAAUGCAUAGAUAUCACGCAGAACCCCGAUUGCGAAGGCAGCAUGCCGGCUUCCGACUGACGCUGAAGCACGAAAGCGUGGGGAUCGAACAGGAUUAGAUACCCCCGUAG